CCCUUAGAUGUCCUGGGCCGCACGCGCGCUACACUGACAUGUUCAACAAGCCUCCUAGUUCGACAGGAUUUGGGAAAUCUUUGAACGCAUGUCGUGAUAGGGAUAGAUCAUUGCAAUUAUUGAUCUUGAACGAGGAAUUCCUAGUAAACGCGAGUCAUCAGCUCGCAUUGAUUACGUCCCUGCCCUUUGUACACACCGCCCGUCGCACCUACCGAUUGAAUGUUUCGGUGAAGAUUCCGGAUAGGACUUUUUUGAUUUAUUUCAAUUUUGUCUUAAAAGCUAUCUAAACCUCAACAUUUAGAGGAAGGUAAAGUCGUAACA
rnacentral:rRNA from 1 species